rnacentral:rRNA from 1 species
AUACGGAGGACGCGAGCGUUAUCCGGAUUCAUUGGGUUUAAAGGGUGCGCAGGCGGCCGUGCAAGUCAGCGGUGAAAGCCCGGGGCUCAACCCCGGAAGUGCCGUUGAUACUGCGUGGCUGGAAUGCGGUCGAGGCGGGCGGAACGUGGCGGGUAGCGGGGAAAUGCGUAGAUAUGCCACAGAACGCCGGUAGCGGAGGCAGCUCGCCAGGCCUGCAUUGACGCUCGGGCACGAAGGCGUGGGGAUCGAACAGGAUUAGAUACCCUGGUAGUCCACGCCGUAAACGAUGGGCGCUCGUCGUCGGCGACAGACAGUCGGCGGCCAAGCGAAAGCGAUAAGCGCCCCACCUGGGGAGUACGGUCGCAAGGCUGAAACUCAAAUGAAUUGACGGGG